CAAGUAACUCAAAUGUAUUUAUUAUGAGUCCUGCAGACUUGAUCAUCAGCUUGGCAGUGUCAACGAGGUAUUGGUAAACUCUGUGGGACCGGUCAGAAAUAGCCGGUGGCAACUCUUUUGAUGGAAUUUUUGGUAUGCCAGGUAAAUCAAUAAUUAUGUCAAGGUCUUUCAAGCUCUUUGUGAUGAUCUUAUCAAGGAUAGGGAGGUGAAGAAACAUGGAGAGGCCACUUGCACAAGUAGUGUAGAAAAAGUAAAUGGGGAUGUUGUGUCUAGAGGACACAAACUCAAAAGCAGCACUGCAGAAGAAAUCUAUAAUGAAGGCUUUUAUAUUGGAGGAUUUAGAAAGAUUUAAGAGGGUCUGGUGGAGGUUGGUGUUGUUGAGCUCAGGGAGCUCAAAGAAAGAGGCUACGAAAUCUAGAGGAGAAAAGGAGGUGUUGGGAGGGAGAGAAACUUGAGGGAGGUGAAUAAGAGUUAUGGAGGGAUUGGUGUUGCAGAGUGUGGAAAAGUAGGGGUCAUCAAUGGAGAUUGAUUCAGUUGGCAUGGCGGAGAUUAUGAUUGUAAUUGAGAUUGAAGGGUGGUGUUCGAGAAUUUGCUUUCCUAGUUCCACCAUAGAGAAUAAGUGGCCUCUGCCAGGUGAUGGGUACAAGACUAUGGUAUCCUCCAUGAGGCAGGCUUCUCUCUUUUCGCACAACCACCGAAAGAGAGAAAGAUAGAGAUAUGAUAUCGCAGUAAGGACCUUGGAUGUGCUUUAUAUGCAAUUUAACUUUGGCUUUUUCUGUGGGCUUCACCUCAGUGAGUGUUUGUUUUUCCAGUCGAUUACUGCCUGUAUUUCAAAUGGCCUUUUACAGUAAAAAAAAACGUAUUAAAUUGUUUUUUUUUAAAUAUUUUUAAUAUACUAAUAUUAUAUAUAUUACUUCAAUUGAAAGCAAUUUUAAAAAAUAUCAUGCGAAAGCAUACUAAAAUCAUAUCAUGUGAUACUAUUAUAAUUGAUCGGCUUUGAAAAAAAAAUCAGUUCCAGGUGUAAUAUUGAGUUAAAAAAUAGUUGAAACAUCUACAUUUUUUUUAUGAUGCGAAUUACAAUCAAUUAUUGACAAAUAUUAUAAUACCUAAUAGUUAGGUAUAUUACAAAAAAAAAAAACUAAAAGUACUCAGCCUUGGCUUUUUCUAUAGCACGUGAAGAGAUUAAUUAUUGUGGAUUUAAGAAAAGUAAUAAAUAUUUUGCCCUUCAUUGUUUGGUAUUGAUGUAAAAUUUUCUUUUUUGAUGGACACAAAUGUCAUUUGUAGAUUGAUCAUUGUCAAUUUUCUCGUUCACCUUUGAAAAUACACGGUGAAAAUGACCUAUAGGCUAGCCCAUUAGCUCGCGCCACGCAAAAGAAAACAUCACCAAACAAAAAAAAUAUAGACAUUACAAAUAUAUCUUUUAAGAAAGUUCAAAUAUUUUAUUCAUGAAUUUAAAAUUAGUUGCAUAUCAGAAGAUAUUUUUAUCUAACAUGAGGAAGUAAACAUAUUGGAUCAACCUAGAUUAUUCUGGUUGACACUUGAAAGUUUCGGGAUAAUCUUGAAAAAAACAAGUUGAGAACUUAAAUCUUGAGUUAGUUCAAUGUUGAAGGACAAAAUAAAAAAAAUAUUUUUAUAGAAAACAAGUGAACCGGAGUCAACUAACCAAACUUUUCAUGCUAGUCAUACACGUCAUCGGAUUCAAUAAUUUUUUAUUCCAUAGAUUAGUUUCAUUUAAUAGAAUUACAUGAAAAUAAUGUGAAUGUGAUAUUUUUUAAUUAAAUAUUUUUUAAAAAGAAAAAAAUAACAUUAAAGAUGUCUGGGACUGGAGACAGCAAAAGCAAAUCGUUGUUAAUAAAGGGUGAAAUUGUUUUUUUUUUCUUUAAAUCUUAGUUAAUUAUAAAAAUAGAUCAUCGAUAAUAAGGAUGAAAAUGUUUUUUAAAAAAAAACAAUUGAGGUACUAAAAGUGCAUUAAGCAAAAAAAAUAAUACACUGAAUGUUGUGACUUAACUCGUCGAACUUACAAUCCCGGUCAUGAAACUAACAGGGUUAAUUUAUUUCAAUAUCUAAAAAGGGUGGAAAACCCCCAUAAGGCUAGCUAAUGCCUCAGCACACUAGGCCUCUAAAAAGAACAUCCCAGGCUUGCACACUUGAGCUUGUUUUUUCUUUUCUUUUCUUAUUAAAAUGGGCGAAUCUCUCUCCCCUUUCGCAUAAAAGGUUUGAAAAAUAAGGGGAAUAAACUUUUACAUCAAAAUUGAAUUUUUGAAAACUAAAAGGGGCAAUCACCUAUAAACCGAAAAAGAUAAGGGACUAAAAUAAAAAAUUUUGUAUGAAGAAUUCACCACCUAUUUAACUUGUUAUUUUCACUUUGAUUUUUUGACUUUCAAUCCAACCAUUUUGUAUUUCAUAUGAAAAAAUUAAGAAAAAAUCCAUGUGAAUAUAGGCUAUACAUGUUGUAAAUAAUGAAGUUAAAGUUUUUUAUCUCACAUUGAAAAAACCUAACUUUUUUCUUGUGAACAUAGAGUAUAUAUACUAAAGAGAUUCAAAUCUCACAUUGAAAAGAUAUUAUAUUAUCCUUUAAAAUUGAAGUAUUUAAACCAAAAGGUUUUUUAUCCCACUUUGAAAAACAUAACUUUUUUAUUAUGAACAUAGAGUAUAUAUACGAAAGGAUUUCAAAUCUCACAUUGAAAAAAUAAUUUUUUUCUUGGGAACAUAGAGUAUAUACAAUAAAAUCUCACAUUGAAAAAAUAAAAUAUUUUUCUAAUCUGUAUAUAGUGAACUUUAAAAAAUGUUAAUAACCAACUAAAAAAAUAUGAAAAAAGAAAGGUAUGGGAGGAAAACCACAUUUGAAAAGAAAAAAAAAAGGUCUCGUCCGGGUUCGCCUGAGUCGCCCAGGUACUGGAUUUUACCGGGUUGUUGAACCGGUCAGUCUUUUAACAAAUCCAUACUAGUCCAGCAAUCGAGUCAACCCACUAGGUCAGACCGGGUUUAAUAACAGUACCCACAAGAAUGAGCAAAUUUUGGGCUAGAUGGGGUCUGGAUUGCCAUUUCCAUGUAAAUUGACUCUCCUCGCUACAGCCCAAAGUCACUUCAUUUUUUUUAAGCCAAAGAAUAUUUUCAAAUCAUUUACGCAUUUAAUUAUUUUUUCAAAUGAUUUUAAAAAAACGUACUCUCGUAUCGAAACCCACAAAAAAGAAGAAAAGGAAAUGAGGAUAUGUACUAGACCACUCCCUUUAAAUUUCUUGAAGAUAAUUGUUAGAUAGAGGGGUUGAAACCAGUCCCAUCUAAAUUUGACCACUUGCCAUGAAAUUGCAUGAUUCAUGGGUUUGAAUGGCAGCUCGUGAGCGUUGUUUUUUUUUUUUUUUUUUUUUAAUAUGGGGUUAUCCGAAUACUGAAUGAUCAAGUAUCCUAGUAUAUUUUUUAAUUUUUUUUAUCCAGGUUGUUUCGGAUACAGGAUGAUCAAUAAUCUAAUAAAUAAAUAAAUAUUUAUUUAUAAUGAUUUAUAAAAGCUCGAAUUCUGUGCUUAAAUUGAAGGAUUAAAUUAAAUUUUUUUUAAAAUUAACUAUUUUAAUUCAUAAUAAUUUACGAGAGGAUGCGCAGAGAGAUUUGCCAUAGUAAAAAACCACAAAAACCAAUUUGGCAACCUAAAAAACAUUUUUAAUGCUAUAGUUUUUAACCCAACAAAACCAUUUUUUCAACCCAUUUAAAGCCAAGAACACCUAAAAACCAAUCUUAUAACAUGUAAAAAUCAAUUUGGCAACCUAAAAAACAACUCAAAUCACAAAAUGAAACCAAAUAAGUUCUCUCGUCCUCGACUUGGAUAUGUUUUUUAGGCAAUAUCAAGGCUUAAAGUAAUCUUCGUAAGACUCCUUUAAUCGAGUGUAACCCAUUGACACUGAUUCCAAUUGUUUUAAUGGCCUGAAUAUGUGUAGACGAUGAUGUUCUCAAGGACUAAAUUAAAUUUUUUAAAAAACUAACUGUUUCAAUUCACAAUAAUUUAUGAGAGAGUAUUUAAUCAUUUUAAUGUACUGAUCUCAAAAAUAAUUUUUAAAAACUAAAAAAACAUUAUUAACAUAUUUUUAUAUGACCCAUCUAUCCUAAAGAACAACAAGCAAGCCUAACUUUACCAAAACCCGCAAGAGGGGUUGAAACCAGUCCCCAUCUAAAAUUGUUAGAUAGAGAGGGGUUGAAACCAGUCGCUUUUAAAUUUCUUGAAGAAUAUAGUGUCAAUAAAUAGUGAAUUAAUUGUUAGAUAGAGAGGGGUUGAAACCAGUCCCAUCUAAAAGUGACCAUGGGUAUGAAAAUUACAGUGCUCAUCUCUUCACGCUUUGAUUCAUGGGUAUGAAAAUUACAGCCCUGUGAGCGUUGUUUUCUUUUUUUCCCCUUGCUAGAGUGAUUUGAAAGUUGAUUUAUUAUUUUUCUUAUUUUAUUCCACAAUAAGAUUAUUUAUUUUUAGAUAAAUUUAAAUAUCAAUCAAGAUUAAAUAACAUAAUUAUUACCCCCUUCUUAAUUAAGUAUGACAUUUGAACUGUCUACCAAAUCUCGACGUCCUUUCUUCACUGAGCUGCAACUUUUAAUUCUCUUAAAUGCUGGAUUAACUUAAUUAGCACUCGAGCAGUAUUCAAGAGAGAACUAUUAAGCUAAUAAAUAUUAAAGAAAAUUUAAUUAAAGAAAAAAAUAAAGCAAUGGGUGACGAGCUUUCGACACCCUUGGAAUUAUUAAGCACAACACGUCAGAAUGACACAGAUAUUGUUAUUAUUGGAUUCAUAUCGGAUAUAGGACUAUCCGCCUGGAAUGACAUACCAUGUAUUUAUUGAAUAUAUAAAUGUGGAGAAAAGGUUUAAAAAUUACCUAACCAACCACUCUAAUAUUUUGAAUUGAGAGCAAUUCUUUAACAUUUUAUGAACCGUGUUCGUUAAUGUUAUCUUCCGAUCAAGUAAAGCACGAGAACGCUAUUAAAAUUAUAUAUUUUUAAAAGUUUUAAGUUUUUUUGUUUUUUUUUAAUAUAUUUUUUUUUGUUUUUUGAAUUAUUUUAAUGUUUUAAUAUCAAAAAUAAUUUAAAAAAAAUAAAAAAUAUAUUAUUUUAAUAUAUUUGGGUCUUGCUAGGAGGCCAGGCCCAACAACGUUAUUGGGUCUGUUUCAUUCAAAAUCUAAGUCUGCAAUUGACCAGAAGUAAACCAGUCACCCGGCAUGGUCAACCCAAAACUAGGGCGAUCCGGCAAAAAUCUGAAAGAGACCUUUUUUUUUUUCAAAAGUGUUUUUUCAAGAAUUAUUAUAAAAUAGAGAUGAAUAUAGGGUCUUUGGAGACCGACCUUGUCAGGAGAGGGGCGAAGCAGCUUGACCAUAGCGGGAGGGGUGGUCACUCGUAUAAGUCACAGCCCUCCCUUGGGUCGCCUUCUAAGAUCAAAAGCUAGAGAAUCCUAUGUAGUUCGUUCCCUUACGGUUGAGACUUUGGAAUUCAAAACCCUCGCCUGUUGGCUUUCGCUCCCGGCUUCCCUGCCGGAAAUAGUUGCCUAAGCCCUCCUUUUGCUAUGAAAAAAAGGCACUUUCUUCUGGAAUCACCAACACGUUUAGUCGUUGAUCUAUUGUUGAGACUUGAGAGGUUUGAUUGGUUUCAAAUUUCAGCUGAUGCUUGGAGUUGGCAUGUCUUUGGUUGUCUCGUGUAUGUGUUUGAGAGUCUAAUGAGAGGAGGUGGCCGCAGGUGCUAGGAUUAGGUUGCUGGCACAAAGAUUUGUUUAUUUUUUAGAAUCGGUUCGGUUCGGUCCGGUUUAACUGAUUUCUGCAUUACAAAAUCGAAAACCGAACCGAGAUUUUUUCUAAAUAUUUUAAUCAGUUUUUUUGCUCGGUUUGGUUUUUUCGGUUUUUUUUUUGUUUUCUCACUUUAUUAUUUAUAAAAAAAUAAUAUUAGAUACAUAUCGGAUAUCGGUUUCGACACCCUUGGAAUUAUUAAGCACAACACGUCAGAAUGACACAGAUAUUGUUAUUAUUGGAUACAUAUCGGAUAUAGUUCUAUCCGCCUGGAAUGACAUCCCAUGUAUUUAUUGAAUAUAUAAAUGUGGAGAAAAGGGUUUAAAAAUUAACUUUACCUUUUGAUAUUAUUAUUUAUUGAGUAUAUAAAUGACAUUUUGAAUUGAGAGCAAUUCUUUAACAUUUCUUGAACCAUGUUCGUUAAAGUUAUCUUCCGAGCAACCAAGCACCUGGAACGUUAUUGAAAUUAUAUAUAUUUUUUAAAAUUUUAAAGUAUUUUGUUUAAACUUUUAUUUUUAUUUUUAUUUUUUGAAUUAUUUUAAUGUUAUAUAUUUUGAAUUAUUAAAACUUAUAUUAUUUUAAUGUAUUUUCACAACAAAAAAAACUAUUUUAAAAAACAAUCAUUAUUAUAUUUUCAAAUACAUUUUUAACAUGUUAGGAUCCCACUUCGAACUUCUCCUUCUCCUUCCUGGUUGAUAAGAUGGGUGUUUUCUUGAUAUUGUUUCCCCACUCUAUCUAUAAAAAAAAUUUGUUGCUUACUACAACAACAUUGAACUCUAAUCCCUUUAAUUAUUUCAUAGUAUUUAUUUAUAUAUGUAUUAGCAGAACUUUAAAACGCGUGAGAUUUCUACUAUACAUGAAUGUGUUUUGGACCAAAAAACAAUUUACUGUGGACUUACUAUACAUAUAUACAUUAUAGACCAAGAGACAAUUAACUGUGGACUUGUACAAUUGCUUAGCUAUAUAGUAAAAUGUAUGGAGAUUUUUCACUGUGAACCAAGAUACAAUUAACUGGACGACACUGUAGCCAACCGCAACCUGGAGGCGUUCCUUUCCUGUGUUUUUAGUCGAGAAUUGCGGCUGAGGGCGUUGCUCAUUUGACUUUUGCCAUUAAGAUGAGAACGAUGCAGCGGCAGAGGCGAUAGUAGAGCCGUUGGGUUUGGCUUUGGUAGCCAAACCCAACACUGUUGGUUCAGGUUGCUGCAGCAGGACACAUUAGCUUUGGGUCCUGCCCCCAGCAAGACCCCAAGACGCCUCUUUAUGCCUCUGCACAUCGUAUAUAUGUAUAUCUUCUUCACUACAGUAUAACACCACCAUUGAAUAUUAAUGUAAGAUCAUUGAUCAAUAAGGACGACUGGCUUCCAGUCGUAACAGUCAUACCAGUUAAAUUUCUUUGUCGUUGUCUUCUCUUAUUCAAAUUUAUAUUUCAAAAUAAAUUGAUGAGAUUUCUUUUAUAUUGUAUAAAAGUUGGGUGAUGAUAAUUUUUUCACGUUUCAGGUUGGGUUGAAUUUCCUAAUUAAAUCAUGUUAGAUUUUGUGUUUCGAAAAUUGUUUGAAAAUAAUUUUUAAAUUUUUUUCUUAGCUUCAAAUUAAUAUUUUUCUUAUGUUUUGGUAUUAUUUCAAAAACAAAUAUGUUGAGAUUGUGUCUUACUGCGAGGCUAAACCCAAGAAAUUUUAAAAUUUUUAAUUUUUUUCUUUACUUCAAAAUAAUAUUUUCUUCAUGUUUUUGUAUUAUUUUUUAAAUAUUUUUUUUGAAAAAAAACAUAUAUGGAGAUUGUGUCUGGUUGAGAGGCAAAACUCAAGAAAUUGAAAAAACUUUUAUUUUUUUUACUUCAAAUUAAUAUUCGUUUGAUAUUUUUUUUCUUUACUUCAAAUUAAUUAGAUCAUGUUUGAUUUUGCAUUUCAAAAUUUCUUUGAAAAAAAUUUGACAAUUUUUAAGUUUUUUUUCUUUACUUCAAAUUAAUAAUCUUUUUAUGUUUUCGUAUUCUUUUUUAAAAAUAUGAUGGCAUUGUGUUUGGCUGCGACGCUAGACCCAAGAAAUUUUAAAAUUUUAAUUCUUUUAUUUGUUUCAAAAUAAUACUUUUUGUCAUGUUGUUAUAUUUUUUAAAAAUAUAUUUUUUAAAAAAAUAUUGAGAUUGUGUCUGGCUGAGUAAAUAAUUCUCUAAUAUUGUCGUAUUAAAAUUGAUGGAGCUCUCAAUAAAUUUUUGAUUCACAUCAUAUACUUUAUAAAGUUUUGGUAUUAUAUAUGAGAUUAUUUAUUGGGUGCUAGAAGAUAUUUUAAUUUUAUAACAUUUUUUCAAAAUAAAUUGAUGAGAUUUCUUUUAUAUUGUAUAAAAGUUGGGUGAUGAUAAUUUUUUCACGUUUCAGGUUGGGUUGAAUUUCCUAAUUAAAUCAUGUUAGAUUUUUUGUUUCGAAAAUUGUUUGAAAAUAAUUUUUAAAUUUUUUUCUUUGCUUCAAAUUAAUAUUUUUCUUAUGUUUUGGUAUUAUUUCAAAAACAAAUAUGUUGAGAUUGUGUCUGACUGUAAGGCUAGACCCAAGAAAUUUUAAAAUUUUUAAUUUUUUUCUUUACUUCAAAAUAAUACUUUCCUCAUGUUUUUGUAUUAUUUUUUAAAUAUUUUUUUUGAAAAAAAACAUAUAUGGAGAUUGUGUCUGGUUGAGAGGCAAAACUCAAGAAAUUGAAAAAACUUUUAUUUUUUUUACUUCAAAUUAAUAUUCGUUUGAUAUUUUUUUUCUUUACUUCAAAUUAAUUAGAUCAUGUUUGAUUUUGCAUUUCAAAAUUUCUUUGAAAAAAAUUUGACAAUUUUUAAGUUUUUUUUCUUUACUUCAAAUUAAUAAUCUUUUUAUGUUUUCGUAUUCUUUUUUAAAAAUAUGAUGGCAUUGUGUUUGGCUGCGACGCUAGACCCAAGAAAUUUUAAAAUUUUAAUUCUUUUAUUUGUUUCAAAAUAAUACUUUUUGUCAUGUUGUUAUAUUUUUUUAAAAUAUAUUUUUUAAAAAAAUAUUGAGAUUGUGUCUGGCUGAGUAAAUAAUUCUCUAAUAUUGUCGUAUUAAAAUUGAUGGAGCUCUCAAUAAAUUUUUGAUUCACAUCAUAUACUUUAUAAAGUUUUGGUAUUAUAUAUGAGAUUAUAUAUUGGGUGCUAGAAGAUAUUUUAAUUUUAUAACAUUAGUGUAGGAGAUUCAAAGUUUUAUCAAUGUUUUAUUAUCUUUAAAUUUUUUAUACAAUAGUUUUGAAUUAUAUAUAUUAUUAAAUACAUAAAUAAAUUAUGUGUUAGGUCCAGCCCCUUGCAAGAACCAUUAGGGUUGGUCCUGCCGGGUGCAGGACCCAACAUUGCUUUGGGUCCUGACGUGUGCAGAAUCCAAUUGGGUGUUGAAUCAUGUCGGGUGCAGGGCCCAGAAUACCUCUGGGUUCUGCCGGGUGCAGGACUCAAAAUAGCUUUGGGUCCUGCCUGGUGCAGGACCCAUGUGGGUGUUGGGUCCUGUCAGUGCAGCACCCAGCCUCACACACACCAUGACCCAACAAUUAGGGCCCUGCCACCCAAUUCAUCAAGACCCAACAACAUUGGGCCUCAGAACCAGGACUCAACAGCUUUGGGCCUUGCCUCCCACCUACCUUGACCCAACGCCUAAUUGGAUCUUGCUGCCACCAGGACCCAACAACUUUGGGUCCUGCCUACUACCAUGACCCAACACCUAAAUGGACCCUUCUGCUACCAGGACCCAACAUCUCUGAAUCCUUUUCUAACCAGGACCCAACAGCUUGGGCCAUGCCCAAAGUAGCACCCAACACUUUGGGUCCUGCUAGUAGGUCAGGCCCAGCAGCGUUAGUGGGUCUUUUUCAUUCAAAAUCUAAGUCUGCAAUUGACCAGGAGUAAACCAGUCAACCUGCAAGGUCAACCCGAAACUAGGGCGAUUCGGCAAAAAUCUGAAAGAGACCUUUUUUUUUUCAAAUGUGUUUUUUCUCCUACACUAGACCCUUCGUUUUCUUAUAUUUUUAAGUUGGUUACUAACUCGUUUCAUAGUUCACUAUAUAAAUACUAUAAUAAUGUAUUUUUUUCCAUGUGGGAUUUGAAAUAUUUUAGUAUAUAUUUAUGUUUUGUCAAUAUGAGAUAAUAAACCUUUUUGGUUUAAAUACAAAAUAAAGUGACAUGACGGGUUAAAAAAUCAAAAACAAAAAAAUAGACAAAACAUCCUCUCUUUUAUUUUGUUUAGGAGUUCUUUUAAAAAAAUUUGAUUAUUUGAUCCGCGGCGAAGGAAGGUUCACAUAGCUAGUAUACAUAUAUUUAUUAUUAGUUUAUUCAAUCAAAUAUCAUCUCAUUUUGUAACAUGUAACUUCUUUUUAUUGUCACCAACGUGUGCAAGAGGCUUAACAUGAUCAUUUAUUAUUUUUUGUUCCAAGGUAUCAAUACCCUAUUAUUUGCGAUUUGUUGUCAUGAAUAUAUAAUCUGUUUUGCUUGAUAAUGCAUUGCAUAUUGCAUGAUAUUUUUGUGAAAAUAUCUUUUAAUUAAUCUGUUUUGCUUGAUAAUGCAUUGCAUAUUGCAUGAUAUUUUUGUGAAAAUAUCUUUUAAUUAAAAACAUAUCAAGAUUAUGUUUAUUUAGGUUUCUUUAUUUUUAAUAUUAAUACAUUAAAAUUAUUAAAAAAAUUAAUUUAUAUUAAUUAGUGACAAAACAAUGGCUUGAUACAUCACAAAUCCUUGUCUCCUCAGGGCCUUGCAAACAGAGCACCAACUUAAUUUGAAUUUACUUUUCUUUUGAAAGAUUACAUAUUGAAAGUUCAUGUUCAGGUAAAAAUGAUCAGCAAACAAGAUAGAUCCCAUUGUUGAACACUAAUGGUUUCAAGCCCGCGGUUUACAAUUAUCAACCUUUUUUAAAACAAUCCACCAACUUAGCCAUGGCUAUGCAAGAAGAUCCUCCGUCACUCUUUGCCACCACCGCAUCCUCCCUAAGUUUCAGAACCCUUUCUCGAACAGCUUCACCUUUCUUCGAGUUCAUCAGCUCAAUCACACGCUCCUCCAGCUCGGCCGCGUUCACAAACUGAUCGUCCCCAGCUUCUCUAAAUGCUAGAGCCACCUUCAUUUCCUCAACCAAGAAAAUCCUAUUCAUCCUUUGCUCUGCAUACAGAGGCCAAGCCACCAUUGGCACCCCAGCACACAGGGCUUCAAGUACAGAAUUCCAUCCACAAUGAGUCACAAACCCUCCAACCGAGCCGUGGUUGAGUAUUUCAACUUGUGGUGCCCAUGAAUUCACUAGAAAUCCCCGAUCUUGGGUUCUCUCCAAGAACCCUUCUGGCAAAAGUAAAUCCAAACAUGGCUCAUUUGGAGUGCUUGACCUGCCUGCUUGGGUUUGGCUAUCAGCCAGGGGAGGACGCACCACCCAUAAGAACCUAACACCACUUUUCUCCAACCCAAUAGCCGUUUCCCUUAACUGACGCGAAUUAAAGACUCCCAUGCUGCCGAAACAAAGAAAUAAAACACUGCGGGUUGGUUGCGAGUCAAGCCAUGUCAGACACUCGUGUUCGCUUUUGCUUUCGCUAGUGGUUAAAAGUGGACCAACGCAAAACAAUGGUGGUACUGGCUCAUCUGGGGCGCCGCACUUUCCUUCUUGUAUUGCCUGAAGUGCCUUACGUUCAAGGAACUCAAAUGUAUUUAUUAUGAGUCCUGCAGACUUGAUCAUCAGCUUGGCAGUGUCAACGAAGUAUUGGUAAACUCUGUGGGACCGGUCAGAAAUAGCCGGUGGCAACUCUUUUGAUGGAAUUUUUGGUAUGCCAGGUAAAUCAAUAAUUAUGUCAAGGUCUUUGAAGCUCUUUGUGAUGAUCUUAUCAAGGAUAGGGAGGUGAAGAAACGUGCAGAGGCCACUUGCAUCAGAAGUGUAGAAAAAGUAAAUGGGGAUGUUGUGUCUAGAGGACACAAACUCAAAAGCAGCACUGCAGAAGAAAUCUGUAAUCAAGGCUUUUAUAUUGGAGGAUUUAGAAAGAUUUAAGAGGGUCUGGUGGAGGUUGGUGUUGUUGAGCUCAGGGAGCUCAAAGAAAGAGGAUACGAAAUCUAGAGGAGAAAAGGAGGUGUUGGGAGGGAGAGAAACUUGAGGGAGGUGAAUAAGAGUUAUGGAGGGAUUGGUGUUACAGAGUGUGGAAAAGUAGGGGUCAUCAAUGGAGAUUGAUUCAGUUGGCAUGGCGGAGACUAUGAUUGUAAUUGAGAUUGAAGGGUGGUGUUCGAGAAUUUGCUUUCCUAGUUCCACCAUAGAGAAUAAGUGGCCUCUGCCAGGUGAUGGGUACAAGACGAUGGUAUCCUCCAUGUGGCAGGCUUCUCUGUUUUCGCACAAGUCCACAACCACCGAAAGAGAGAAAGAUGGAGAUAUGAUAUCGCAGUAAGGACCUUGGAUGUGCUUUAUAUGCAAUUUAACUUUGGUUUUUUCUGUGGGCUUCACCUCAGUGAGUGUUUGUUUUUCCAGUCGAUUACUGCCUGUAUUUCAAAUGGCCUUUUACAGUAAAAAAAAAAAGUAUUAAUUGUUUUUUUAAAAUAUUUUUAAAUUUGAUUUUUUGACUUUCAAUCCAACCAUGUUGUAUUUCAUAAGAAAAAAUCAAAAAAACAUCAAUGUAAAUAUAAACUAUACAUGUUAUAAAUAAUAAAAUUUAAAAUAAUAUUUUAAAAAGUUUUUUAUCCUACAUUGAAAAAACCUAUAGAAUAUAUAUACUAAAGGGAUUCAAAUUUCACAUUGAAAAGAUACUAUGUUAUCCUUUUAAAUUGAAGUAUUUAAACCAAAAAUUUUUUUAUCCCACUUUGAAAAACAUAACUUUUUUAUUAUGAACAUAGAGUAUAUAUACGAAAGGAUUUCAAAUCUCACAUUGAAAAAAUAACUUUUUUCUUACGAAUAUAGAGUAUAUAUACUAAAGGGUUUCAAAUCUCGCAUUGAAAAAAUAAAAUAUUUUUUUAAUAUUUAUAUAGUGAACUUUAAAAAAUAUUAAUAACCAAUUAAAAAAAUAUAAAAAAAGAGAGGUAUAGGAGGAAAACCACAUUUGAAGAAAAAAAAAGGAUCUCGUCCAGGUUCGCUCGAGUCGCCCAGGUACCGGAUUUUAUCGGGUUGAUGCCCCGGCCAAUAUUUUAAUAAAUUCAAACCAAUCCAGCAUCGAAUCAACCCGUCAAAUCAGGCCGGGUUUAAUAAUAGUGCUCACAAGAGUGGGCAAAUUUUGCGCUAGAUGGGGUCUGGAUUGCCAUUUCCAUGUAAAUUGACUCUCCUCGCUACAGGCUAAAGUCACUUCGUUUUUUUUUUAAGCCAAAGAAUAUUCUCAAAUCAUUUACGCAUUUAAUUAUUUUUUCAAAUGAUUUUAAAAAAACGUACUCUCGUAUCUAAACCCAAAAAAAAAGAAAAGGAAAUGAGGAUAUGUACGAGACCACUCCCUUUAAAUUUCUUGAAGAUAAUUGUUAGAUAGAGGGGUUGAAACCAGUCCCAUCUAAAUUUGACCACUUGCCAUGAAAUUGCAUUGAUUCAUGGGUUUGAAUGGCAGCUCGUGAGCGUUGGUUUUUUUUUUUUUUUAAUAUGGGGUUAUCCGAAGACUGAAUGAUAAGUAUCCUAGUAUAUUUUUUAAUUGUUUUUAUGCAGGUUCUUUCGGAUAUAGGAUGAUCAAGUAUUUCAGUAUUUUCUCUAUAAAUAAGCAGUGAGUUUAACAUGAUCACCUUUUAAAAAAAUAAAUAAAUGAAUAUUUAUUUAUAACUAUUUAUAAAAGCGGAAAUUCCGUGCUUAAAUUCAAGAACUAAAUUAAAUUUUUUAAAAAAUUAAUUAUUUUAAUUAACAAUAAUUUGUGAGAGAGUACACUGAGAGAUUUGCCAUAAUAAAUAACCACACAUGUUUUAUUGUACUGUUAAUUAAUAAAAUAAUUUACUGUAAUUUUUAAGAAUUCAUUGAGUUAAGUCAAUCUUGAGCUGAGCCAGGAUGGCCGAAAAUCUAACUAUUUUAUGCAUGGCCCAAUCUAUCCUAAGAACAACAAGCAAGUCUAACUAACCAUUUAGUAGGUGGUCCAGUGAUAAGAGCUUGAAAUUAAAAGGUUUGUUCCCCUGUGAUUUUAGAUUCGAGCCAUGUGGUUGUUAAUAUGAUGAUCACUGGAAGUUUAUAUGGUCAUUAACUUUAAGAUCUGUGGAAUUAGUCGAGGUACACAUAAGUUAACCCAAACACUCACAUUAAUAAAUAAAUAAAAAAACAAGCAAUCCUAACUUUACCAAAUUCCACAAGGAAGGUUGAAACCAGUCCCAUCUAAAAUUGUUAGAUAGAGAGGGGUUGAAACCAGUCCCAUCUAAAAUUGACCACUUGCCAUGAAAUUACAGUGCCCAUCUCUUCAUGCUUUGAUUAAUGGGUAUGAAAAUGUUGGCUCUGUCAGCGUUGGUUUCUUUUCCCCCUUGGUAGAGUGAUUUGAAAGUUGAUUUAUUAUUUUUCUUAUUUUAUUCCACAAUAAGAGUAUUUAUUUUUAGAUAAAUUUAAAUAUCAAUCAAGAUUAAAUAACAUAAUUGUUACCCCCUUCUUAAUUAAGUAUGACAUUUGAACUGUCUACCAAAUCUCGACGUCCUUUCUUCACUGAGCUGCAACUUUUAAUUCUCUUAAAUGCUGGAUUAACUUAAUUAGCACUCGAGCAGUAUUCAAGAGAGAACUAUUAAGCUAAUAAAUAUUAAAGAAAAAUUAAUUAAAGAAAAAAAUAAAGCAAUGGGUGACGAGCUUUCGACACCCUUGUAAUUAUUAAGCACAACACGUCAGAAUGACACAGAUAUUGUUAUUAUUGGAUUCAUAUCGGAUAUAGGACUAUCCGCCUGGAAUGACAUACCAUGUAUUUAUUGAAUAUAUAAAUGUGGAGAAAAGGUUUAAAAAUUACCUAACCAACCACUCUAACAUUUUGAAUUGAGAGCAAUUCUUUAACAUUUCAUGAACCGUGUUCGUUAAUGUUAUCUUCCGAUCAAGUAAAGCACGGGAACGCUAUUAAAAUUAUAUUUUUUAAAAGUUUUAAAUUUUUUUGUUUUAAAUUUUAUUUUUAUUUUUUGAAUUAUUUCAAUGUUUUAAUAUCAAAAAGUAAAUGGGGAUGUUGUGUCUAGAGGACACAAACUCAAAAGCAGCACUGCAGAAGAAAUCUAUAAUCAAGGCUUUUAUAUUGGAGGAUUUAGAAAGAUUUAAGAGGGUCUGGUGGAGGUUGGUGUUGUUGAGCUCAGGGAGCUCAAAGAAAGAGUUGGGAGGGAGAGAAACCUGAGGGAGGUGAAUAAGAGUUAUGGAGGGAUUGGUGUUACAGAGUGUGGAAAAGUAGGGGUCAUCAAUGGAGAUUGAUUCAGUUGGCAUGGCGGAGAUUAUGAUUGUAAUUGAGAUUGAAGGGUGGUGUUCGAGAAUUUGCUCUUUUCGCACAAGUCCACAACCACCGACAGGGAGAAAGAUAGAGAUGAGGAGAUCACAGUGAAGACCGUCGAGGCGCUUUAUAUGCAAUUUAACUUUGGUUUUGUCUGGGGCCCGCUUGACCUCAGUGACUGUUUGUUUUUCCAGUCAAUUACUACCUGUAUUUC
rnacentral:lncRNA from 1 species